rnacentral:rRNA from 1 species
GUAGGGGGCAAGCGUUAUCCGGAUUUACUGGGUGUAAAGGGAGCGUAGACGGCUUUGCAAGUCUGAUGUGAAAUGCGGGGGCUCAACCCCUGAACUGCAUUGGAAACUGUAGAGCUAGAGUGCCGGAGAGGUAAGCGGAAUUCCUAGUGUAGCGGUGAAAUGCGUAGAUAUUAGGAGGAACACCAGUGGCGAAGGCGGCUUACUGGACGGUAACUGACGUUGAGGCUCGAAAGCGUGGGGAGC